AAAAGAAAGAGCAUGAAGUAAAAGUGCAUGAAGAAGUGAAAGAACCUGAAAAAGAGGAGGCUGAGGUAAAAGUUCCAGAAGAGCUGGAUGAACCAGAAAGAAAAGAAAAGAAAACGAACUUAAAAAUUACUUUGAGAAAGAAAAAAGACGGAGAAGAAGCUGGUGAGGAACCUGAAAAAGCAAAGGGGAAGUCUAGGAAAUCAAUACCAAACAGGAAAAGGACAAGAAGUCAAUUGCUGAAAGAAGAAUUUCCCGAUCUUAUCAAAGAGGUAAAGCAGGAAUUGGAAGAGGCACAUAAGAAGAAGAGCUUGUUGCCUGCUGAGAAAAUUUCAACAAAAAAAGUUGCACCAAAUGCUAAGAAGGGGAAUGGA